UACAGGGGGGGGCAAGCGUUGUUCGGAAUUACUGGGCGUAAAGGGUUUGUAGGUGGCCACUUAAGUCAGACGUGAAAUCCCUCAGCUUAACUGGGGAACUGCGUCUGAUACUGCGUGGCUUGAGUGCAGGAGAGGAACGCGGAAUUCCAGGUGUAGCGGUGAAAUGCGUAGAUAUCUGGAGGAACACCGGUGGCGAAGGCGGCAUCCUGGACCGGUAUUGACGCUGAGGAGCGAAAGCCAGGGGAGCAAACGGG
rnacentral:rRNA from 1 species